AGUCGGAAUCGCUAGUAAUCGUGGAUCAGAAUGCCACGGUGAAUACGUUCCCGGGCCUUGUACACACCGCCCGUCACACCAUGGGAGUGGGUUGCAAAAGAAGUAGGUAGCUUAACCUUCGGGAGGGUUACCGCCCACGCAGGGGCAGGCAAUACUGGACGCCGCCAGACAUGCCUUUAUCU
rnacentral:rRNA from 1 species